GAUAAGGUGGCCGAGCAGGUGGUGGGUUGUAGCCCCGAAGACAGAGGUUUAAGUCCUCUCUUUAUCA
rnacentral:tRNA from 1 species